GUAGUCCACGCCGUAAACGAUGGAUACUAGCUGUUGGAGGUAUCGACCCCUUCAGUAGCGAAGCUAACGCGUUAAGUAUCCCGCCUGUGGAGUACGGUCGCAAGACUAAAACAUAAAGGAAUUGACGGGGACCCGCACAAGCGGUGGAUCGUGUUCUUUAAUUCGAUGAUAAACGAAGAACCUUACCAGGGUUUGACAUCCUUGGAAUUUCUGUGAAAGCAGAGAGUGCUUUAUUGAGCCAAGUGACAGGUGAUGCAUGGCCGUCGUCAGCUCGUGUCGUGAGAUGUUUGGUUAAGUCCAUCAACGAGCGCAACCCUUGUGAUUAGUUGUAUUUUUCUAAUCAGACUGCCCCGGUAACGGGGAGGAAGGAGGGGAUGAUGUCAGGUCAGUAUUUCCCUUACACCCUGGGCUAGAAACACGAUACAAUGGUUAGUACAAUGCGCAGCGAAGCCGCGAGGUGGAGCAAAUCGCAUCAAAGCUAAUCUCAGUUCGGAUAAGAGGCUGAAACUCGCCUCUUUGAAGUCGGAAUCGCUAGUAAUCGCAGAUCAGCAAGCUGCGGUGAAUACGUUCCCGGGUCUUGUACACACCGCCCGUCAAACCAUGAAAGCCACCAACACCCGAAGUCCGAUUCGUCGGCCUAAGGUGGGGGGGAUGAUUGGGGUU
rnacentral:rRNA from 1 species